GAGAAAUGCAGAUUAAAUGUACUUAUAAUGGUGUUCAAUUAUCAGAAACAGAAUUUCCCAAAAAUUGGUUAAGAGACGGGAUUCAGAUCAAAAUUUUAUUUCCUUUUUGUCUGAAACCUUGGCAUAUAUCUAAACUGUACCCCUCCCGCAGAGAGCUAAUGAAAAAGCAAAAACAAAAAGAUGAUUUUUGUUUUUUAACAGUUUGGGGAAUGGAAGCUGAACUUCCCUUUGGUUCUCCCCGAAAGCGACCUUCAUUUUUUGAGCCCAUUUUUAAGGAACUCGAAAAAAAAAUUGGAAAAUUCAAAAAGAAAUAUUUUCUAACUCUAAAAAUUUUAAAAGGAAAAACAAAAUUAUUUAGAAGAGUUUCAAAAGAAACCACAAAAUUGUUUAUCAAAAGUAUUGGAUUUCUAAAAAAAAUAAAAAAAGAACUUUCAAAAGUAAAUCUAAUUGUAUUAUUUAGAUUCAAAGAAAUAUCUGAAUCCAAUGAAACAAAAAAAGAAAAAGAUUAUCUAAUUAGUAAUCAAAUAAUUAACGAAUCAUUUCGUCAAAUUGAAUCUGGAAAUUGGCCAAAUUCUUCACUGAUAGAAACAAAAAUGAAGGAUUUGACUGAUAGAACAAGUACAAUCAAAAAUAAAAUAGAAAGAAUUACAAAAGAGAAAAAGAAAGUAACUCCAGAAAUAGACAUUAAUCCUAAUAAAACAAAUAAUAUUAAAAAAUUCGAAUCGCCAAAAAAAAUUUUCCAAAUAUUAAAAAGCAGAAAUACUCGAGUAAUAUGGAAAUUCCAUUAUUUUCUAAAAUUAUUCAUUCAAAGAUUAUACAUCAAUUUAUUUUUAUCUAUCAUUAAUAUUCCUAGAAUUACUACACAACUCUUUCUUAAAUCAACAAACAAAUUGAUUGAGAAAUUCAUCUCCAAUAAUGAAAUAAAUCAAGAAAAAAUUAAUAAUAAAAAAAAAUUCACUUUAUGUUUAUUUCGACUAUAAAAAAGUCACUUUAUAAUAUUAGUAAGAAAAAUUCACAUAUUUUGUGUGAUUUAUCCUACUUGUCACAAGCAUAUGUAUUUUACAAAUUAUCACAAACCCAAGUUAUUAAUUUUUCUAAAUUUAGAUCUGUUCUUCAAUAUAACACAACGUCUUGUUUCCUUAAGACUAAAAUAAAGGACUAUUUUAAAACACUAGGAAUAUUUCAUUCGGAAUUAAAAGAUAAGAAACUUCAGAGUUAUAGAAUAAAUCAAUGGAAAAACUGGUUAAGAUGGCAUUAUCAAUACGAUUUAUCUCAGAUUAGAUGGUCUAGAUUAAUGCCAAAAAAAUGGCGAACUAGGGUUAAUCAAAGUUGUAUGGCUCAAAAUAAAAAUAGAAACUUAAACAAAUGGAAUUCAUAUGAAAAAGACCAAUUACUUCAUUACAAAAAAGAAAAUGAUUCGGAACUCUAUUCAUUAUCAAACGAAAAAGAUAAUUUUAAAAAAUGUUAUGGAUAUGGUCUUUUAGCAUAUAAAUCGAUUAAUUAUGAAAAUAAAAGUGACUCAUUUUUUUCUAGAUUACCCUUUGAAGUUCAAGUAAAGAAGAACUUAGAAAUUUCGUAUAAUUCCAACACGUCCAAACACAACUUUGUUGAUAUGCCCGGCAAUCUUCAUAUCAAUAAUUAUCUAAGAAAGGGCAAUAUUCUAGAUAGAGAAAGAAAUCUCGAUAGAAAAUAUUUUGAUUGGAAAAUUAUCCAUUUUUCUCUUAGACAAAAAGGAGAUAUUGAAGCCUGGGUUAAGAUCGAUACCAACAGUAAUCCAAAUACUAAAAUUGGUAUUAAUAAUUAUCAAAUAAUUGAUAAAAUUGAGAAAAAGGGGGUUUUUUAUCUUACAACUCAUCAACAUCCAGAAAAAACUCAAAAAAAUUCGAAAAAAGUCUUUUUUGAUUGGAUGGGAAUGAAUGAAAAAAUAUUUAAUCGUCCCAUAUUGAAUCUGGAAUUUUGGUUCUUCCCAGAAUUUGUACUACUUUAUAAUGUCUAUAAAAUAAAACCGUGGAUUAUACCAAGCAAAUUCCUUCUUUUUAAUUUGAAUACAAAUAAAAAUGUUAGUCAAAAUAAAAACCAAAACUUUUUUCUACCAUCAAAUAAAAAAAUAAAAAUAAAGAAUCGAAGUCAAGAAGCAAAAGAACCCCCAAGUCAAAGAGAGCGUGGAUCAGAUAUAGAAAACAAAGGAAAUCUGAGCCCUGUUUUUUCAAAACAUCAAACCGAUCUUGAAAAAGAUUACGUGGAAUCAGACACAAAAAAGGGUAAAAAUAAAAAACAAUACAAAAGCAACACGGAAGCAGAACUAGAUUUGUUCUUGAAACGUUAUUUGCUUUUUCAAUUGAGAUGGAACGGUGCUUUGAAUCAAAGAAUGUUCGAAAAUAUCAAGGUAUAUUGUCUCCUGCUUCGACUGAUAAAUCCAACCAAAAUUACUAUAUCGUCAAUUCAAAGGAGAGAAAUGAGUUUGGAUAUAAUGCUGAUUCAGGCAAAUUUACCUCUUACAGACUUGAUGAAGAAGGGGGUAUUGAUUAUCGAACCUAUUCGGUUGUCUGUAAAAGAUAAUGGACAAUUUAUUAUGUAUCAAACCAUAGGUAUUUCAUUGGUUCAUAAAAGUAAACACCAAACUAAUCAAAGAUACCGAGAACAAAGAUAUGUUGAUAAAAAGAAUUUUGACGAAUUCAUUCUGCAACCUCAAACUCAAAGAAUAAAUACAGAAAAAACUCAUUUUGGUUUGCUUGUUCCUGAAAAUAUUUUAUGGUCUAGACGUCGUAGAGAGUUGAGAAUUCGAAGUUUUUUUAAUUCUUGGAAUUGGAAUGUCGUCGAUAGAAAUUCAGUAUUUUGCAACGAAACCAAUGUAAAAAACUGGAGUCAAUUUUUGGGUGAACGGAAACCCCUUUAUAAAGAUAAAAAUGAAUUAAUUAAAUUUAAGUUCUUUUUUUGGCCUAAUUAUCGAUUAGAAGAUUUAGCUUGUAUGAAUCGUUAUUGGUUUGAUACCAAUAAUGGUAGCCGUUUCAGUAUCUUAAGGAUACAUAUGUAUCCACGAUUGAAAAUUAAUUGAUAGUACUAUAUACCCUGUCUCGUAUAGAGUAUCUGAAAGCAAAUAAAUGCAAACAUGCCUUGUUUUACAUCUCAUUCGAAUCUAAUUCGAGUAGACAAUACUAAAUCAAUAAAAUAAGGUAUUGAUUAGAUCUAGAAAUGAAUCAACAGAAUCUUCUUCAUUUUAGGAUUUUAGGUUUCAAUUAUUCGCUUUUGUGAUUAAAAAAAACGUACCUACCGUCUUUUUGGAUUCCUAUCUGAAUCAAAUUUGAAAUUUGAUUAAUUUAUUGGAAUUGCUAAAAUUAGAGGUUCAUAAAGAAAUUAAGUCUAUAUACCACGUUUAAAUUACUGGCAUUAUUAUUACUGAUCAAUAAAAUUCGAAAAAAUCCAUAUCUGUAAAAUAAAGAAAGGGGAAAUUCAUUUAUGGUAAAAAAUUCUGUCAUUUCAGUUAUUUCUCAAGAAGAAAAGAAAGGAUCUGUUGAAUUUCAAGUAUUCAAUUUCACCAAUAAGAUACGAAGACUUACUUCACAUUUAGAAUUGCACAAAAAAGACUAUUUAUCUCAGAGAGGUUUGAAGAAAAUUUUGGGAAAACGUCAACGACUGCUAGCUUAUUUGGCAAAAAAAAAUAGAGUACGUUAUAAAGAAUUAAUUAAUCGGUUGGACAUUCGAGAGACAAAAACUCGUUAAUUUGAUUAAUUUGAAGAGUUAUUUCAUUUUCACUUAUAUGUUUCGAUUAAAUUUUGAUGAACUUCUUUUCACUUUCAGUAAUUCAUGGAAGAAUGAAUCGUUAAAAAACUUAUGACUGCACCAACUACAAGAAAAGACCUCAUGAUAGUCAAUAUGGGGCCUCAGCACCCAUCAAUGCACGGUGUUCUUCGACUCAUCGUUACUCUAGAUGGUGAAGAUGUUGUCGACUGCGAACCAAUAUUGGGUUAUUUACAUAGAGGGAUGGAGAAAAUUGCGGAAAACCGAACAAUUAUACAAUAUUUGCCUUAUGUAACACGUUGGGAUUAUUUAGCUACUAUGUUCACAGAAGCAAUAACCAUAAAUGGACCCGAACAAUUAGGCAAUAUUCAAGUACCUAAAAGGGCUAGCUAUAUCAGAGUCAUUAUGUUGGAGUUGAGUCGGAUAGCUUCUCAUUUGUUAUGGCUCGGUCCUUUUAUGGCGGAUAUUGGUGCACAGACCCCUUUCUUCUAUAUUUUUAGAGAAAGAGAAUUGAUAUAUGACCUAUUCGAAGCUGCCACCGGUAUGCGAAUGAUGCAUAAUUAUUUUAGGAUUGGAGGAGUGGCUGCCGAUCUACCCUAUGGCUGGAUAGAUAAAUGUUUGGAUUUUUGCGAUUAUUUUUUAACAGGGGUUGCUGAGUAUCAAAAACUUAUUACUCGGAAUCCUAUUUUUUUAGAACGAGUUGAAGGCGUAGGCAUUAUUGGGAGAGACGAGGCAUUAAAUUGGGGUUUAUCGGGACCAAUGCUACGAGCUUCCGGAAUAGAAUGGGAUCUUCGUAAAGUUGAUCAUUAUGAGUCUUACGACGAAUUUGAUUGGCAGGUUCAAUGGCAACGAGAAGGGGAUUCAUUAGCUCGUUAUUUAGUACGAAUCGGUGAAAUGACAGAAUCCAUAAAGAUUAUUCAACAGGCUCUGGAAGGAAUUCCAGGGGGGCCUUACGAAAAUUUAGAAAUGCGACGUUUUGACAGAUUAAAAGAUCCUGAAUGGAAUGAUUUUGAAUAUCGGUUUAUUAGUAAAAAGCCUUCUCCAACUUUUGAAUUGUCGAAACAAGAACUUUAUGUGAGAGUUGAAGCCCCAAAAGGAGAAUUGGGGAUUUUUCUGAUAGGAGAUCAGAGCGUUUUUCCUUGGAGAUGGAAAAUUCGCCCACCAGGUUUUAUCAAUUUGCAAAUUCUUCCUCAGUUAGUUAAAAGAAUGAAAUUGGCUGAUAUUAUGACAAUACUAGGUAGCAUAGAUAUCAUUAUGGGAGAAGUUGAUCGUUGAAAUGAUAAUUGAUACAACAGAAAUAGAGACUAUCAAUUCUUUUUCCAAAUUGGAAUCCUUAAAAGAAGUCUAUGGGAUCAUAUGGAUGCUUGUCCCUAUUGUGACUCUUGUAUUAGGAAUCACAAUAGGUGUACUAGUAAUUGUUUGGUUAGAAAGAGAAAUAUCUGCAGGAAUACAACAACGUAUUGGGCCUGAAUAUGCCGGCCCGUUAGGAAUUCUUCAAGCUCUAGCAGAUGGGACAAAACUACUUUUGAAAGAGAACCUUAUUCCAUCUACAGGAGAUACUCGUUUAUUCAGUAUCGGACCAUCCAUAGCAGUAAUAUCUAUCUUUCUAAGUUAUUCAGUAAUUCCUUUUGGUGAUCACCUUGUUCUAGCCGAUCUUAGUAUUGGUGUUUUUUUUUUGGAUUGCCAUUUCAAGUAUUGCUCCCGUUGGACUUCUUAUGUCGGGGUAUGGAUCAAAUAAUAAAUAUUCCUUUUUAGGUGGUCUACGGGCAGCUGCUCAAUCAAUUAGUUAUGAAAUACCAUUAGCUCUAUGUGUGUUAUCAAUAUCUCUACGUGUGAUUCGGUGAGACCUAAAAUUUAUCCAAAUUCUUUUCUUUCUAGAAACAAGGAUAAAAAGAUUUGAUUGAUUAUAUAUAUUUUUUUCUUCAGCAUUUGAGUUGAUGAACUAAAUCAGAUAGUUAUAUGAGUGAAAGAAAACGGCUUCUAAAUUUGCAGUAAAAAAGUUGAGUCUCAUUUCCUAUGUACAAGAAUCAAAUGGUGAAAAAAGUAAACAUAAGCAAGAGAGAUUGUUUACCCCAAGAUUCGUGAAUUGUCAUGAUAGCUUGAAGCGGGUUCAAAAGACCAACUCUAUGGAGUUUUUACUGUCUAUUACCAUAGAUGGAUUUCCACAACGGGAGGUUUUUGAAACAAAAAAUGAGUGGAUGGUUAGGAAGACUAAGAUACACAAAGGAUUAGUAAUUGAGAUUAUGUAAGUUAUCCAAGAGGAUAUUUCUGUACAUAAAAGGAAUUCAAAUUGGGGCUUUACGUUCGUAGAAAUGAUCAAGAAGUACUCCCCAUGAUUCUGAUCCAGAGUAUGUUCCUAUCCACUGAGUAAGUAACUAACUAUCAAGAACGAAGUAAUCUUUUACUUUGGUUAAAGACCCUUUUUCUGAGAAAGGAGAAUAGGAAUGAAAUAAAAAAAUCGAAAUAGAAAGAAAAGAAGCUAAUUGCAAAAGGAAAAAGGAGGGAUGUCUUUUUUUGUUUUUAUUCUUUCUUUCCUAUAAUUCAAUUUUUAUUUCUAUUUAGAGAGAUAAAAUUUUUGUCAUGAUUCAUGAACUAAUGUACUCUCUAAUUUUUUUCGUAAUUGAAAAUUCGAGGUUGAAAUGUAUAUGUGAUAUUGCUAUAAAGCACAUUUUUUUAUUUAAUGAUAAGGUUAUUAAUCAACAAAGAAAAAUUAAAAUUCUUAAAAGAUGAGAUAAAUUCAGAAGCACUUAUUUAUUAGUUUUAAAUAUAGCAGACAGAAUUCCAUUGGUCUAAUUUGGGACCUUAGAAUAGAUUUUGACUCUAUCUGACAAACAUAUCAAGAUAAAGAAUAGGAAAGGGCCCUUAGAUUUAGUUGUGACCUCUGAGGAGCCGUAUGAGGUGAAAAUCUCACGUACGGUUCUGUAAUAGCGAUGGGCACAGUGAUGUUAUCAUCGACUAUGAUUAUCUAACAGUUUAAGUACAGUUGAUAUAGUGGAAGCGCAGUCAAAAUAUGGUUUUUGGGGGUGGAAUUUGUGGCGUCAACCCAUCGGGUUUAUCGUUUUUCUAAUUUCUUCUCUCGCCGAGUGUGAAAGAUUACCUUUUGAUUUACCAGAAGCAGAAGAAGAAUUAGUAGCAGGGUAUCAAACCGAAUAUUCUGGUAUCAAAUUUGGUUUAUUUUACAUUGCUUCAUAUCUGAAUCUACUAGUUUCUUCAUUAUUUGUAACAGUUCUUUACUUGGGAGGUUGGAAUCUUUCUAUUCCGUACAUAUUUGUUCCUGAUAUAUUUGGCAUAAAUAAAGGAGGUAAAGUCUUUGGAACACUAAUUGGUAUCUUUAUCACAUUAGCCAAAACUUAUUUGUUUUUGUUCAUUCCCAUUGCAACAAGAUGGACUUUACCGAGGCUGAGAAUGGACCAACUAUUAAAUCUUGGGUGGAAAUUUCUUUUACCGAUUUCUCUAGGUAAUCUAUUAUUGACAACCUCGUCCCAACUUCUUUCACUGUAAAAGACCACAAUAUCCUAGAUUCACGACUUGUCUCAAACAAGAGAAAGAAACAAGCAUAAAAUCUUUUUUAUAGAUAUUCAACAUAUGCUCCCUAUGAUAACUGAAUUCAUAAAUUAUGGUCAACAAACAAUACGAGCCGCCAGAUAUAUCGGCCAAGGUUUCAUGAUUACCCUGUCCCACGCAAAUCGUUUACCUGUAACUAUUCAAUACCCCUACGAAAAAUUGAUCACAUCGGAACGUUUCCGAGGCCGAAUACACUUUGAAUUUGAUAAAUGCAUUGCUUGUGAAGUAUGUGUGCGUGUAUGUCCUAUAGAUUUACCCGUUGUUGAUUGGAAGUUGGAAACUGAUAUUCGAAAGAAACGAUUGCUUAAUUACAGUAUUGAUUUUGGAAUCUGUAUAUUUUGUGGUAAUUGCGUUGAGUAUUGCCCAACAAAUUGUUUAUCAAUGACCGAAGAAUAUGAACUUUCUACUUAUGAUCGUCACGAAUUGAAUUAUAAUCAAAUCGCUUUGGGUCGCUUACCAAUGUCAGUAAUUGAUGAUUACACAAUUCGAACAAUUUCGAAUUUACCUCAAAUAAACAAUGAAUAAACCCUUAAUUUGAUUCAAAAAAAUUACAAAUUACGAAGGCUUAGUUCGGAUCUAAAACAAUGAGAUUUUUGCUUGGGCAAUUCAAACUAGUGGUUUCUUAAUGAGACUCCUAGCUUAAGCUUAAUUUAGAUUGAAAACAAAACCGAGUUCAAUAUUAUAUAUUAUAAUAGUAAUGGUUUCAAAGUAGAUAAAUGAUAUCAAAAAUAGAUAGGUUUAAACUCCUCUUUCGACGAAUAAAGAAUGGAUAGUGGUCCAAUAAAAUAAAAGCAUCUACGUCAAUUCAUACCCAUUAGACUUUCAUUCAAUUAACAAUUUCAAAGUAUCAUAAAAAAUAGAAAAACUGCUUUUUUCCUGGUCAGGUCAAUAAAGUCAUGAAAUUCUUCGUUUUUGAUUUUUUAUAAAAAAUGGAUUUAUCUGAACCAAUACAUGAUUUUCUUUUAGUCUUUCUAGGAUCGGGUCUUAUAUUAGGGGGUCUAGGAGUGGUAUUACUUCCCAAUCCAAUUUAUUCGGCCUUUUCCUUGGGAUUGGUUCUUGUUUGUACAUCGUUAUUCUAUAUUCUAUCUAACGCCUAUUUUGUAGCUGCUGCGCAGCUACUUAUUUACGUAGGAGCUAUAAAUGUUUUAAUCAUUUUUGCUGUGAUGUUCAUGAAUGGCUCAGAAUAUUACAAGGAUUUUCAUCUUUGGACCGUAGGAGAUGGAAUUACUUCGAUGGUUUGUAUAAGUCUUUUUAUUUCACUAAUUACUACUAUUUCAGAUACGUCAUGGUACGGGAUUAUUUGGACUACAAGAUCAAACCAGAUUAUAGAGCAAGAUUUUCUAAGUAAUAGUCAACAAAUUGGAAUUCAUUUAUCAACAGAUUUUUUUCUCCCAUUUGAACUUAUUUCCAUAAUCCUUUUAGUUGCUUUAAUAGGUGCAAUUGCUGUAGCUCGUCAAUAAAAAAUUUCUAUUAAAACUUGGAAUUCAAAUAAAAUUUUGUUCUGUCUUAUCACAUUAAUUUUCCUUCAAUUCUAUUUGAAUUCUAGCUGGAUAAAUAGAAAGACUUUAGGUCAAUCUAGUAACAAUAUAUUUCUUUGUUCCAUACUUGUUAUAUACUAGUCAAUUAAGUUAGUUGAAUUGUUGUUCAUAUUGAAAGGAGUCGGGAUUGAUAAGGAGUUGUUUAAUGAUUCUCGAACAUGUACUUGUUUUGAGUGCCUAUUUAUUUUCCAUCGGUAUCUAUGGAUUGAUCACAAGUCGAAAUAUGGUUAGAGCCCUUAUGUGUCUUGAACUUAUAUUGAAUGCAGUUAAUAUCAAUUUUGUAACAUUUUCUGAUUUUUUUGAUAAUCGUCAAUUAAAGGGAGACAUUUUCUCAAUUUUUGUUAUAGCUAUUGCAGCCGCUGAAGCAGCCAUUGGCCUGGCUAUUGUUUCAUCAAUUUACCGUAACAGAAAAUCAACUCGUAUCAACCAAUCAAAUUUGUUGAAUAAUUAAUAUUAAUCAUCUAGAUUCUAAUAUUGAGAAAUCUAUUUUAAUUAGCAUGUUUACUACGUAAAGUAUGAUCUUGUUUGCAAAACAUAAGAAAUCAAAGUAUUUUGGCCUCUCUCAUAUCUCAUAAACCAAUCCAGAAAGGGGUUGAUUAGAAAAUUAUGAUAACUCAUUGAUUCAUCUGGUAUCUAAAUAUACGAUUCGUUUCUAAGUUUACUAGAUCGAAAAUUUAGAACAUUCAAAAACGUAUAGGCCCAAUGUCACAUUCAGUAAAGAUUUAUGAUACGUGUAUAGGAUGUACUCAAUGUGUCCGAGCCUGCCCCACUGAUGUAUUAGAAAUGAUACCUUGGGACGGUUGUAAGGCUAAACAAAUUGCUUCUGCUCCACGAACAGAGGACUGUGUUGGUUGUAAGAGAUGUGAAUCCGCCUGUCCAACAGAUUUCUUGAGUGUCCGAGUUUAUUUAUGGCAUGAAACAACUCGCAGUAUGGGUCUAGCUUAUUGAUACGUUCGAGAAAACUCUACUUGAAUCCAUUUAAUUUUUUUACCGACAAACCUGUGCUCGAAAAUAAAAAUAUUUUGAGCACGGGUUUUUUUGGUCCAAGUGUAUCUUGUCUUUACUACGAAUUAUUUUCCUUGGUUAACAAUAAUUGUCGUUUUUCCGAUAUUUGCGGGUUCUUUAAUUUUCUUUCUUCCCCAUAAAGGAAAUAGGGUAAUUAGGUGGUAUACAAUAUGUAUAUGUAUUUUAGAACUCCUUCUAACAACUUAUGCAUUUUGUUAUCAUUUCCAAUCGGAUGAUCCAUUAAUCCAACUAGUAGAGGAUUAUAAAUGGAUCGAUUUUUUUGAUUUCCAUUGGAGAUUAGGAAUAGAUGGACUUUCUAUAGGACCCAUUUUAUUAACAGGAUUUAUCACUACUUUAGCGACUUUAGCGGCUUGGCCAGUUACUCGAGAUUCUAGAUUAUUCCAUUUUCUCAUGUUAGCAAUGUACAGUGGUCAAAUUGGAUUAUUUUCGUCUCGGGACCUUUUACUUUUUUUCAUCAUGUGGGAGUUAGAAUUAAUUCCUGUUUAUCUACUUCUAGCCAUGUGGGGAGGAAAGAAACGUCUGUACUCAGCUACAAAAUUUAUUUUGUACACGGCGGGGGGUUCCGUUUUUCUCUUAAUGGGAGUUUUGGGUGUUGCUUUAUAUGGUUCUAAUGAACCAACAUUAAAUUUUGAAACAUCAGUUAAUCAGUCAUAUCCUGUGGUUUUAGAAAUAAUCUUCUAUAUUGGAUUUUUUAUUGCUUUUGCUGUCAAAUCGCCCAUUAUCCCCCUACACACAUGGUUACCAGAUACCCAUGGAGAAGCACAUUACAGUACUUGUAUGCUUCUAGCCGGAAUCUUAUUAAAAAUGGGAGCGUAUGGAUUAAUUCGAAUCAAUAUGGAAUUAUUACCUCAUGCCCAUUCUAUAUUUUCUCCUUGGUUGAUGAUAAUAGGUACAAUACAAAUAAUCUAUGCAGCUUCAACAUCUCUUGGCCAACGGAAUUUAAAAAAAAGAAUAGCCUAUUCCUCUGUCUCUCAUAUGGGUUUCAUAAUUAUAGGAAUUAGUUCUCUAACCGAUACGGGACUAAAUGGAGCCCUUUUACAAAUAAUCUCUCAUGGAUUUAUUGGUGCUGCACUUUUUUUCUUGGCGGGAACGACUUAUGAUAGAAUCCGCCUUGUUUAUCUUGACGAAAUGGGCGGAAUAGCUAUUCCAAUGCCAAAAAUGUUCACGAUGUUCAGUAGCUUUUCGAUGGCUUCCCUUGCAUUACCAGGUAUGAGUGGUUUUGUUGCCGAAUUGAUAGUAUUUUUUGGAAUAAUUACCGGCCAAAAAUAUCUUUUAAUGCCAAAACUACUAAUUACUUUUGUAAUGGCAAUUGGAAUUAUAUUAACUCCUAUUUAUUCAUUAUCUAUGCCACGCCAGAUGUUCUAUGGAUACAAGUUAUUUAACGCCCCGAAGGAUUCUUUUUUUGAUUCUGGACCGCGAGAGUUAUUUCUUUCGAUCUCCAUCUUUUUACCCGUAAUAGGUAUUGGUAUAUACCCCGAUUUCGUUCUUUCAUUAGCAGUUGACAAGGUCGAAGUUAUUCUAUCUAAUUUUUUUAUAGAUAAUUGGAUGACUGAAAUAAAAAAACCUAUGUUUGUUUUUAAAAACAUUCUUGGACAAUGAAAAAAAGUCUUCUUUUUUUCUUCUCUUUUAACUUAAGAAUUAAGUAAAAACAAUGAAAUUGAACUACAUAUGGUAGAAAACCGUGUGAAUCAUCAAUACAAUAUUUGAUUCACACGGUCCGCAUGCUGGUUCAUACAAUGCGUCGCCCGCUCUUGUAUUUGUAAUAACUUGUCUUGAAUUCAAUUAAAUGUUGAUGGAAAAGAACCAUAACUAUGUAACCCUAUUCCUAAUAGAUUGACCCCAAAAUAGCAUAUCCAAAUUAUAAGAAAACCUAUCGACGCUACAAUUGCAGAAUUUGGACCCCGCAAAUUUCUAUUUGUUCGAGUAUGUAAAUAAAUGGCAAAUACGAUCCAAGUAAUAAAUGCCCAAGUUUCUUUUGGAUCCCAAUUCCAAUAGGAACCCCACGCUUCAUUAGCCCAUACCGCUCCCGAAAGGAUUCCUAUGGUUAAAAAAGUAAAUCCUAAACUAAUAACCCGAUAACUCCAAUAAUCCAAUUGUUGAAUCAAUUGGGACCUGUAAUAAUUUUUAGCACAAAAAAACGAAGUAUUUUCGACAACAUUUUCACCCAAGAAAAAUGACUCGUUUAAAAAAACAUUGCUCUUAGAAAAAAGCUUUCUGUUUUUUCGAAAUGUAAUCACUAGAAGUGCUACUGAUAAUAACGAUCCACAUAAAAGGGCUGCAUAGCCCAAUAUCAUCAUACUUACGUGCAUUAUUAACCACUCAGAUUGAAGAGCAGGUACUAAGAUUCCAGAUUGGUGUAUUUCAGUUAAAAUACCUGAAGUAGCAAAGCCUUGGGUCAAAAUAGCACUUGGUCCAGUUAUUUUACUUAAAAUUAAAACAUUUUUUUUGAAAUAUGGAAUUAUAUGAAUAAGGGAGAAACUCCAUGAAAGGAAAAUUAAUGAUUCAUAUAAAUCGCUUAGUGGGAAAUGUCCUGAAGAAACCCAACGAGUAACUAAUAAUCCUGUUAUACAGAAAAAAGUAACUAUUAUGCCCUUUUCUGACGAAUCGUAUAGUUUUACAAUUUCAUCGACUAAA
rnacentral:lncRNA from 1 species